UUUUGAGACCUUUUCUACUGUUAUAGCGCCACCUAUGGUCUGAUCUCCAUGAAACUUUGCAUGCUUGUUAAGAGUCACCUGAUACAUGAUUUCACUGAGUUUCAUACAGUUUUGAGUUUUCCUUUAGGUUUUAUAGGCUUUGGGGUAUGUUUGGCCACACCCCUUUUUCUAAAUUACCCGGUUACAGCAAACCAAAGGACAAAAUUCAACAUUUUUUUUAAUAAUUAUUGAUCUAGAGAGUCCACAGAAUAUUACUGCAGUGGUUUGGUUCCGAUCGGGCAAAAAACCUAGGACUAGUUCGCAAAAGUAGGUUUUUAACAUAUUUGUGAAUAACAAUUGAACGAUUUGAUUGACAGCGAUGGUUCUUGAGGCAAAGUUGUGCAUUACGAGGAGAUCUAUCAAAUGAUAUGCAUAUUGUGUUGAUAUGUGAAACACCACGUGAUUACAGAGCCAUAAAACUCGUUAGCGCCAACUAGUGGCCGAUUUCUUUCAAAAUUCUUACAGACCUUAAGGUUCAUGAGUCGAACGUACCCAGCGAGUUUCGUUCCGAUCAACAUCCGUUAACCCUUUCAAAUAGGUGCUUAAAUUUGUUUGGCCAAUGACGGCCAUGUUUUUUGAGAUAUGCAAAUGUCCUCAUAAGUACUUGUGCCCCUUCAGACCAAGACACUGCAUACCGAUUUUCAAGUCGAUCGAGCCAACGGUUGCCUAGUUAUAGCAAUUUAUGUGUUUUUUCUAUCUUAUAGCGCCCCCAAGUGGCAGAGAUGCGCAAUUUUUUUGAUUUGACCAAAGAUUGAGCUCAUACAUACGUGUACCGAGUUUGGUGAAGAUAUCUCAUUCCGUUCAAGAGUUAUAGUCAAAAUAGUAUUUGGCUAACGUUAGCAUAGACGCUUUUUGGCGUACUGUUUCGCGUAAGAAUUGAAAUUUCAACUUUUUUUUAAUAAUUAUUGAUAUUGAGUGUCCAGGGAAUAUUUAUGAAGUGGUUUGGUUCUGAUUGGUUGAAAAUCCUAGGACUAGUUCGCAAAAGUAGGUUUCGGAUAUAGCUCGAUUUUGCGAGAAAACGGUGCGUCGUAGACCCCAAAAAGGCGCCGUGCACUUUUGUUUGGGCUAACCCAAGGAUUGCU